GCAAGUCGAGCGAGAAAGCCCUUCGGGGUGAGUAGAGCGGCGGACGGGUGAGUAACGCGUAGGAAUCUGCCUGGUAGUGGGGGACAACCUGUGGAAACGCAGGCUAAUACCGCAUACGCCCUUCGGGGAAAGCGGGGGACCUUCGGGCCUCGCGCUAUCAGAUGAGCCUGCGUUAGAUUAGCUAGUUGGUGGGGUAAAGGCCCACCAAGGCGACGAUCUAUAGCUGGUCUGAGAGGAUGAUC
rnacentral:rRNA from 1 species